AUUGAACGCUGGCGGCAGGCUUAACACAUGCAAGUCGAGCGGAGAUGAGGUGCUUGCACCUUAUCUUAGCGGCGGACGGGUGAGUAAUGCUUAGGAAUCUGCCUAUUAGUGGGGGACAACAUUCCGAAAGGAAUGCUAAUACCGCAUACGUCCUACGGGAGAAAGCAGGGGAUCUUCGGACCUUGCGCUAAUAGAUGAGCCUAAGUCGGAUUAGCUAGUUGGUGGGGUAAAGGCCUACCAAGGCGACGAUCUGUAGCGGGUCUGAGAGGAUGGGCCGCCACACUGGGACUGAGACACGGCCCAGACUCCUACGGGAGGCAGCAGUGGGGAAUAUUGGACAAUGGGGGGAACCCUGAUCCAGCCAUGCCGCGUGUGUGGAGAAGGCCUUAUGGUUGUAAAGCACUUUAAGCGAGGAGGAGGCUACUGAGACUAAUACUCUUGGAUAGUGGACGUUACUCGCAGAAUAAGCACCGGCUAACUCUGUGCCAGCCGCCGCCGUAAGAC
rnacentral:rRNA from 1 species